rnacentral:rRNA from 1 species
GACGAACGCUGGCGGCGUGCUUAACACAUGCAAGUCGAACGAGAUCCAAUGUGUAGCCCUACACAGGAAGAUCUAGUGGCGAACGGGUGAGGAACACGUGAGAAACGUACCCCAGACUUUGGGAUAACAGUCCGAAAGGACUGCUAAUACCAAAUAACGUCGGAAGUCCGCAUGGACAUCUGACGAAAGGGAUUCCGGUUUAGGAGCGUCUCGCGGACCUAUCAGCUAGUUGGAGGGGUAACGGCCCACCAAGGCAACGACGGGUAGCUGGUCUGAGAGGAUGGUCAGCCACACUGGGACUGAGACACGGCCCAGACUCCUACGGGAGGCAGCAGUGGGGAAUCUUGCGCAAUGGGCGAAAGCCUGACGCAGCAACGCCGCGUGCGGGAAGAAGGCUUUCGGGCUGUAAACCGCUUUCAGUAGGAACGAAUCUGACGGUACCUACAGAAGAAGGAGCGGCCAACUAUGUG